CACAAGCGGAGGAACAUGUGGUUUAAUUCGAUGAUACGCGAGGAACCUUACCCGGGCUCGAACGGUGCAGGAAUAUGUCAGAGAUGGCAUAGCUAGCAAUAGUCUGUAUCGAGGUGCUGCAUGGUUGUCGUCAGCUCGUGCCGUGAGGUGUCGGCUUAAGUGCCAUAACGAGCGCAACCCUUGUCGUUAGUUGCCAUCAAGUAAUGUUGGGGACUCUAGCGAGACUGCCACCGUAAGGUGUGAGGAAGGGGGGGAUGACGUCAAAUCAUCAUGCCCCUUAUGACCUGGGCUACAAACGUGAUACAAUGGCUGGAACAAAGGGAGGCGAAGGGGUGACCUGGAGCGAAACCCAAAAAUACAGUCUCAGUUCGGAUUGAAGUCUGCAACUCGACUUCAUGAAGUCGGAAUCGCUAGUAAUCGCGGAUCAGAACGCCGCGGUGAAUACGUUCUCGGGGUUU
rnacentral:rRNA from 1 species